AUUUCGUUAAAAUGAAUGAAAAACAAUAUAUAAUUGGAAAUGACAACAGUAAAA
rnacentral:sRNA from 1 species